rnacentral:rRNA from 1 species
GUAUAAAGUGGCGAACGGUUGAGUAACACGUGGGCAACCUGCCCUUUGCACUGGGAUAGCCUCGGGAAACCGAGGUUAAUACCGGAUACUCCAUAUUUGUCGCAUGGCGAAUAUGGGAAAGCUCCGGCGGCAAAGGAUGGGCCCGCGGCCUGUUAGCUAGUUGGUGGGGUAGUGGCCUACCAAGGCAAUGAUGGGUAGCCGGGUUGAGAGACCGACCGGCCAGAUUGGGACUGAGACACGGCCCAGACUCCUACGGGAGGCAGCAAC